GAUCUUUGGCGAUCACUGCCUCUCUGGGCCUGUGUCUUAGGCUCUGCAAGAUCAACCGAGCAAAGCACACGGCCUGCAGAGAGGCAGAGCUUCGCCC
rnacentral:pre_miRNA from 13 species